AACGAUGGAGAGAGGCAGAGGAGGGCAAAAACUAAAGCAGGAAGUACCAGUGACUUGCUCAAUACGGAAGUGGUCAGAUGAUGUGGAUGCUAUGCCACAUGACUGUUUUGCAAGCACAGACUGGAAUAUGCUCCGGGAUUCAUCCAAAGGCAUUGAGGAGUAUAUCACCUCAGUCAUCGGCUUCAUCAAUAAGUGCAUCGACGACGUCAGCCCCACAAUGACCAUGAACCAUCAAACAGGCAAAGCGUCAAUACAGGAUUAAGACUGAAUCCUACUACACUGGCUCUGACACUCGUCGGAUGUGGAAGGGCUUAAAAACUAUUACGGACUGCAAAGGGAAACGCCGCCGCGAGCUGCCCAGUGACGCAAGCAUACCAGCUGGGCCAAAUGCAAGCUAAAUUUGAGGUCAGAAAGCUGUUUGAAAGGCGAUCCCGUAAUGACGACAUCUGUUAUCACAUGGUCGUUGACACGUAGCACUCGAAAUCUGACGUCAUCCUGUCCAAACCCACAGCUGCCAGACAGCAUUCCAACCUCUGAUUGGUUCUGACAAGCCUCUGACAGCUCUGGAGGGUCCAUCUCUGCAGACAUUGGGAGCUGUCAUUCCGCGACACCCUGUGACGUGGCUGACACUCAGCCAUUAUGACAAGUGCUGGACAGCAGGCACUGUUCUAGGCAGUCUGGCUGUAUAUCUUCAGCGACACACAGAGGAUUCCGAUUCAAGCGAAUCGUCUUGGAGGUCUGAUUAACAUCAAGUCACCCUGGUCAAACCACCAUUGUCACUGCCCUAGCUGUUUCUGUAUCUCUGUCUGUGAAUGUCAGUGUGUGUAGUGUUUUGCGUUCCAUCUCUUCAAACCUGUGUGAACCAGAGGACUCCCUGUGGAGUGACAUUUUGGGGGAGAGACAAAGGAGAAUGGCACACUUUAACCAGACCCCCUGACAAACAUGGCUACACUACAAACGUUCCUCUGUCUGGUUCUGGAUGAAACACUUCUGCUGACACGAUGAGACAUUCAACAAGCCGGACAAAAGGUUAAGUUUGGAAAGAUCAGAUAACAUUCAGUACAAAAGCCACCUGAACACUGUCUCCAAGUGGCAUCUUUGAAUAGGACAUCUCCCUGUGUAAAAACUCCUGUCUCAUUUCUACAUCUCUCCAGCU